GACGAACGCUGGCGGCGUGCUUAACACAUGCAAGUCGAACGGAAAGGCCCUGCUUUUGUGGGGUGCUCGAGUGGCGAACGGGUGAGUAACACGUGAGUAACCUGCCCUUGACUUUGGGAUAACUUCAGGAAACUGGGGCUAAUACCGGAUAGGAGCUCCUGCUGCAUGGUGGGGGUUGGAAAGUUUCGGCGGUUGGGGAUGGACUCGCGGCUUAUCAGCUUGUUGGUGGGGUAGUGGCUUACCAAGGCUUUGACGGGUAGCCGGCCUGAGAGGGUGACCGGCCACAUUGGGACUGAGAUACGGCCGAGACUCCGGCGGGAGGCAGCAGUGGGGAAGAUUGCACAAUGGGCGGAAGCCGGAUGCAGCAACGCCGCGUGCGGGAUGACGGCCUUCGUGUUGUAAACCGCUUUCGCCUGUGACGAAGCGUGAGUGACGGGAAUGGGUAAAGAAGCACCGGGUAACUACGUG
rnacentral:rRNA from 1 species